CAUGUCCUUUUGAAAAUAAUUUAAGGUCUAAUCUGCUCAAUGAUUAAUUAAAUAGCCGCAGUAUUUUGACUGUGCAAAGGUAGCAUAAUAAUUAGUUUCUUAAUUAGGAACUGGUAUGAAUGAUUGGACAAGAAAAUUUCUGUCUCUUUUCUAAAUUUUUUGAAUUUUAUUUUUAAGUGAAAAAGCUUAAAUUUUUAUAAAAGACGAGAAGACCCUAUAGAGUUUAAUAUUCUUUUUUAAUGUAAGAUUAGAAUAUAAUUUUGGAAAAGUUUAUUUAGUUGGGGUGACUUAAAGAUUUGAAUAAUUCUUUAAUAAAUUAAUUGGUGAUUUCUAAAUUAAAAAUCUAUAAUUUAUAAAAUUAAAAUAAAUUACCUUAGGGAUAACAGCGUAAUUUUUCUUUAAAGUUCUUAUUAAAAGAAAAGUUUGCGACCUCGAUGUUGGAUUAAAAUUAAUUUUUGGUGCAGUAACUUAAAAAUUGGGUCUGUUCGACCUUUAAAAUUUUACAUGAUCUGAGUUUAAACCGGUGUAAACCAGGUUGGAUUCUAUCUUUAGAUAAUUUUUAUAUUUUAGUACGAAAGGACCAAAUAUAGAUUAAAUUAAUU
rnacentral:rRNA from 1 species